rnacentral:rRNA from 1 species
AGUUGCGAACGGGUGAGUAACGCGUAGGUAACCUGGCUCAUAGCGGGGGAUAACUAUUGGAAACGAUAGCUAAUACCGCAUAACAGUAUUUACCGCAUGGUAGAUACUUGAAAGAAGCAAUUGCUUCACUAUGAGAUGGACCUGCGUUGUAUUAGCUAGUUGGUGAGGUAACAGCUCACCAAGGCGACGAUACAUAGCCGACCUGAGAGGGUGAUCGGCCACACUGGGACUGAGACACGGCCCAGACUCCUACGGGAGGCAGCAGUAGGGAAUCUUCGGCAAUGGGGGCAACCCUGACCGAGCAACGCCGCGUGAGUGAAGAAGGUUUUCGGAUCGUAAAGCUCAGUUGUAAGAGAAGAAUGUGUGUGGGAGUGGAAAGUCCACAUAAUGACGGUAUCUUACCAGAAAGGGACGGCUAACUACGUGCCAGCAGCCGCGGUAAUACGUAGGUCCCGAGCGUUGUCCGGAUUUAUUGGGCGUAAAGCGAGCGCAGGCGGUUAUAUAAGUCUGAAGUCAAAGGCAUUGGCUCAACCAAUGUACGCUUUGGAAACUGUAGAACUUGAGUGCAGAAGGGGAGAGUGGAAUUCCAUGUGUAGCGGUGAAAUGCGUAGAUAUAUGGAGGAACACCGGUGGCGAAAGCGGCUCUCUGGUCUGUAACUGACGCUGAGGCUCGAAAGCGUGGGUAGCGAACAGGAUUAGAUACCCUGGUAGUCCACGCCGUAAACGAUGAGUGCUAGGUGU